rnacentral:hammerhead_ribozyme from 1 species
AUCCAGCUGAUGAGUCUCAAACAGAAUGAAAUGCGCUUCCUUGAU